rnacentral:tRNA from 1 species
GGAGGGGCUGUGGCUUAGUGGUAGAGCAUCUACUUUGCAUGCUGAAGGCCCCAGGUUCAAUUCCCACCCUCUCCA